GACGAACGCUGGCGGCGUGCUUAACACAUGCAAGUCGAACGGUGAUGCCCCAGCUUGCUGGGGUGGAUCAGUGGCGAACGGGUGAGUAACACGUGAGCAACCUGCCCCAGACUCUGGAAUAAGCGCUGGAAACGGCGGCUAAUACUGGAUACGAAACUGGCCCGCAUGGGCAUGGUUUGGAAAGUUUUUCGGUUUGGGAUGGGCUCGCGGCCUAUCAGCUUGUUGGUGAGGUAAUGGCUCACCAAGGCGACGACGGGUAGCCGGCCUGAGAGGGCGACCGGCCACACUGGGACUGAGACACGGCCCAGACUCCUACGGGAGGCAGCAGUGGGGAAUAUUGCACAAUGGGCGAAAGCCUGAUGCAGCGACGCCGCGUGAGGGAUGACGGCCUUCGGGUUGUAAACCGCUUUCAGCAGGGAAGAAGCGAAAGUGACGGUACCUGCAGAAGAAGCACCGGCUAACUACGUG
rnacentral:rRNA from 1 species